rnacentral:rRNA from 1 species
UACGAGGGGUGCAAACGUUGUUCGGAAUCACUGGGCGUAAAGGGUGCGUAGACGGCAAGAUAAGUCAAUUAUUAAAUUUCCUGGCUUAACCAGGAACCUGUAGUUGAAACUGACUUGCUUGAGGAUGGAAGAGAGAAGUGGAAUUCUCGGAGUAGCGGUAAAAUGCGUAGAUCUCGAGAGGAACACCGAUGGCGAAGGCAGCUUCUUGGUCCAUUUCUGACGUUGAGGAAAGAAAGCGUGGGAGCAAACAGG